rnacentral:rRNA from 1 species
AUACGUAGGGAGCGAGCGUUGUCCGGAAUUACUGGGUGUAAAGGGAGCGUAGGCGGGAGUGCAAGUCAGAUGUGAAAUACAUGGGCUCAACCCAUGGGCUGCAUUUGAAACUGGAUUUCUUGAGUGAAGUAGAGGUAAGCGGAAUUCCUGGUGUAGCGGUGAAAUGCGUAGAUAUCAGGAGGAACACCGGUGGCGAAGGCGUCUUCCUGGGCUUUUACUGACGCUGAGGCUCGAAAGCGUGGGGAGCAAACAGGACUAUAUGCCCUGGUAGUCCACGCUGUAAACGAGGAAUACUAGGUGUAGGGGGUAUCGACUCCCUCUGUGCCUCAGUUAACACAAUAAGUAUUCCGCCUGGGGAGUUCGGCCGCAAGGUUGAAACUCAAAGGAAUUGACGGGG